AUGGCCGACGUGGGUCAAAGUUUAGUAUCCGUUCUCAUUAGCUUAAUAUCUCAUACUGGUUGUAUUUGGACCCAAGAUACUAAACUUAUUUUGCAAGUUGGCGGAGUGCUUGAAGCCUGCCUCACCUCCACCGCCGGUCGGCCCGGUAUUGCACUAUCUUCGGGAUUUUUGGUCUACGAACA